CACUCACUUGGCAGGACAGAAGUACCUCCCUGGGCAGUUGCUGUCUACCAACCUACUACCUAGGAAAUUUACUGCUUAUUUACAUUUAAAGCCAUUAAACUUAUAUUUGACUCAGGAAUGAUUAAAGAAUUGCUGCUCACCCUUUCAGACAGAUUAAGCCUGAUGCUGUUGGGGAGGAAUUUGCAUGGUCUUCAUUUAUGUAGCUCCCAGACUGUAUAACAGGUUACUAGUGUCUGUUAAGCCAGGAAUCUGUUCAUGCUUUUAAAUUUCAGUUACCAGCACAUCUCUGCCAGUUCUCCAUGGUUUUAUUCACAAUUGAAACAGGUAGCCGAAUGUGGUUGAGCACCUGCACAGCAUCUGGUGUUGAGCACUUGUAUGCUUGCACACAAGAGAAGGAACACACACUCAUACUUCUGUUACAAAGGUUAAACUGCGAGGUGGUUAUUCCUAUGGCGAUUCAUUGAGCCUGAAUCACAUAAGUGUUGCAGGUCACCAUUUCAGUGAAUGCCAGAAUAUAGAAACAAAAUAUUCAGUAAUGGUCCCUGCAUUUCUUGCAGAACUAAUCCUUUUCUUAGUCACACAAAACCUAGGGACAAAUAAUUUUUAAUAUCCAGUGUAGUUAUAAAGGUGCACAAGGAAAAAAUAACCAUAAUUCAGCUGGGAGAAGGCCAUAAACUUGUGUUCUUUUCCAGAUACAGAAGCCGAUCUCGACCCAUGCUUUCCAUCACUGCUGGCCCAAGUGAGGAUCGUGCUCGACGGCGUGAUAGAGAAGAGCGUGGUUAUCGAUCUCACCGCCGCAAUGAACCAAACGUGUAACAGCUGAUAGUUAUAAUCUUAAUCAUUCAUUAAUGUAUUUGGAUUUCCCCAAUAUUUACUUAUAGAUAUCAUAUAUCAUUUACUAUAGUGGAUAUUAUAUUGAUAGGAAGAAAUGAAAAUGUUUAAUAUCAUACUACCAUUAGCCUUAAGAAUGAGUUAGUUUAAUUAGAAAGAUAAAUGUAGUUCAAAAUACAUGGCUAGGAUUAUUUGACAUUAUAUAUUUGAUGAAGUGAUUAUGUUAAUAAAGAUAUAUUUCAUCCUGUUGUGCAUAAAUUUGGUUAAAACACACACACAUGCUGGUGAUAAUUUUCUCCAUGUUAUGAAGUCAGUACAACAUCAUUUAAAUGUAAGUAUACUAGUUUAUGAUAGUUAGGGAGACUUGAAUAUGAAUAAUAUGAAACCCAUAAUGGGCCUCUUAAGCUUCUGACCAGCCACCUGCAUUUUGGAUAUAAAUGAAAUAAAUACACCUUUUUUGAAUUGCGACCAUCAUGGUGAUAUUCAAGACCUAACCAUUACGUGUACUAGUAGGUGUAUUACCAUUAUUAGGUUAAUAUUGAAGUUGAAAAUUGGGAUUGAGUUCUAACCAGAUUACUUGAUUGUAUUAGCAACCAUAGCUAAUAUAUUGCUCUUUUCCCUUAACCUCCUAAAAAGUUAAUGGAAUUUUUUUUAAGUAUUAGAAUAUGGCAGUUAGCUUAAAUUACAUGACAUAGAUGACUUAGCAUUUCUUGAAGGCCAUAAGAAUGUUUUGAGAAGUGAAAAAAGGACUAUCCAUCAGACUGUUAACAUUCAACUUUGUGUAUGGGUAUUACCAAGGCUUGUUUCAAUAAAUUACAAGUAUUAAGCCCAAAUAACUAUAAAUUUAGGAAUGCAUUAAGUAUUUUUAUUUGUGAUGCAAAAAGUUUGUAUCUCAGUAGGGACUUCAUUCCCUACACUUCUCAGGUGACAGCAUGGAGUAUAUGCACAUCAAAUGUAAGGAAACAUCCAUAUUUUUCAUGGUCUCAAAAAAGUUACCAUUUUUGUACUGCUGUAUCCAACUUUGCUGUAUUUAUUACUGCCUAUGGCAAACCUCAAAUAGUAAAGACCUUAUUAUUAGUUCCUUGAUAGUGUGAAAACUAGUGUGUAUGGUAUCAGUAGAUGUGUUAAUCUAAUCCAUACUUGCCUCAUUAUUAUGAUACAAGAAGUAUCCAAAUGUGUGUGUAUAUCUAAGAAAAUAUGUACAUUUGUUUAUCAUUGUGAUUUAUGUGAUGUAAAUUUUUUUCAUUCAUAAUUUUUUAUAUCUCCAAGAUGGUAAUUUAACUUGUUUAACCUGAAUUUUUGUCACUCAUAAUUUUCUUAUUCGAGAGAACACUCAUCUAUUCAACAGUUAAAAUGCCUAACACUGGUACAUUAUAAGUUCUUUGGAAAAAAAUCAAUACAACACUAAUAUAAUUUAGUUUCAAAUAUUAAAGAAAAAAAUCAGUAUUUUAAGAGUAUACCUUAGGUAAAAUUUUAGUAAUACAAAAAAAAAUAAAAAUAAAAUGAAAAAGUCCCUGGCACUAGAUUUCAAGUUCCCACAUGGUUGGUGAAAAUUAAGUUUGUCAUAUUUAUUUUCACCUUUAUUCAGUUUAAGUGUGUGUAUUGUAGUUACUAUAUUGAGGUUGUCUUGACCCCACUACCUUCAAUAUUAUCACCCAUACAUAAUAUUAGGACAAGUGGAUCAUAGAGAAAAGGCAGUGUCAGUAACUAGCGAAUAAGAGAUGAAUUGGAUCUGGUAGAAAUGUUCACUUAAACAUUUGUAUACAUCCACUCUCUAUUGGUUAACUACUUUUGAAAGAUAUUCAGUGGAAUAGAUAAUAAAAUAUGGAGAUAUUUUAUUGGAUAGAUAUCAGAUUUUGUCUAGUUCAUUCUGUAGACAGAAUUGAAACUGAAGCAAUAAAUGACAAAUGAUUAGAGUACACGACUAACCUUUGCAUCAAAGUGAAAUAAUGAUGAGGUGAUGUUCUGUUUUCAAGUAGUUUAUGAAUGGUGUGAGAGGUGACUAGUAUAAACACAAUUUAUAUUCUAGAGUGAGCAUGAGUAUUUCAUGUAGAUUCUCUUUUUCAGUACAGAAUUAAGACUUGGCACCCUGGCCAUUUCCCAACAAAGCCAUGUCAUUUACACACUAGUUAUUUGUGCCCCUCUGGAAAGACGUGACAAUGAUGACCCUCAAAUUGCACCAUCCCCUUCCUAUUUUACAUGCCAAUAUUACACUCGCCCCUCCAAAACGAGUCUGGUUUUCCUAACUCUUACCCUAAUUGUUACUAGUGUUGGUAAUUCAAAGUUAGUAAGAGUAUAAUACUUUGCAUCCAUUUCAACUUGAGUGAAUCAUACCAAAUUCUUAGCUAACAUUUCAGCUACUCAUUGAACUACUACUAUAAUCAAGGGGGAAGCACUAAACCCGUAGGAUUAUACAGCGCCUAUGGGGGGAUAGAAGGCAUUCAGGCUUAAUUCAGGGAACUGGAGCACAGAUCCAAUUCCCUAGAUCAAGAGCCCCUCACCAGCGUCAAGGAGCCUUCCUUGAGGGGACUACUCAUUGAAAAGCUAGCCUUAAAUUCUUCAGUGUUAAAUACAAGUCCACUUUUGUCUAACAAUGGAUUAGAAUCUCCUUAAGUUACUAGUUGUCUUUAUAAUGAGUAGUGUCUUAAUGUUAAUAUUUAACAUGCAAAUACAAUAUUAUACUUCAUUAAUAUGGCAACAUUUCUUUGUGGGGAUGAUUAACUGAACAUGUAUAUCGAGGAAGACUUAAAAUAUCUUUUAGUAUAUACCUAUUACCAGCAUAUAGAUAAUGUGCUUUUCCAUAUUGUUUCAAAAUGUAGAAUACUGACAGUGCCUAGUGUUGCUUGAGAUACAGUGUAGAGUUCUAAGAGAAAAGGCAGAUAUUCAAAAAAAAAAUCAUGAAGUGACUCAGGAGAAUAAGACACGUAAACAUCUAACAUUUUUCUGUAUGGACGCUAAAACACCAAAGAAUAUGCCACCAUCAAUGCCUUAUAGUUGGAUGUACUAUUAUGGAUUUCCUCUUUCUGCUUCUUUGGACUUUGUGCAAAGCUAUUUAUUAAAAAUAAAAGUACUUUCAAA